CUUUAUCAGAGUUCCCCCAGGUGGGCAGAGGCACAGGGAAGGACAGAGUGCAGCUUCGAUGUAUCAGUGCAGGCACCCUGGGGGACCACAUCGAAUAGCAGCUGGGAUUUGGGUCAUUUGGUGUUUGUUUUUUUUUUUCAAAAAGAUAAUAUUUUAAGCAGCAACUCAAAGAGGGGGGAACCAGCAGGGAGUGCCAAGCUGUGGUGCAGAGGCAGAGAAUGGCUGUUAAUUCCCGAAAAUGGAUGCACGAGCUAAUCCUCCCCUGCAAAUAUAGCCUCAUAAAUGGUCGGACCCAACAGCCUCUUAAAUGCCAGAUCAGCUCUUACUUAAAUGGCAUUUUGCUUGAUUAUUUAUUUAAUUUACAUUUAUUUAUUUAUUUACUAAGAAUAGCUUUGAAUAAAGAAGUGAUCCCUAUCCAGCAUUGUGUUGGUGAUGGUUUGUCGUUGUUUGCUCUUGCUGUUGAUGAAGCACAGGUGUUGGGAGGUGUUGAGUUCCUUAGGGCUCAGGCUACCCAGGUUCCCUCCCACACUUGUACCCACACCCCCACGUCACACAGUCUUGUGCCGGGGGUCCCUGCCCACCCCGUGUGGGACAUCUGAAUGUGAAUGGGAGCAGGAGCCGUGGUGCGUUGAGCUCAGAUGUGAGAGGGAGGAGAAAGGGAGGGAGGAAGCUUUGGGAGGAUGCAGGAACGCUGGAGGAGAAGGGACCAUUCACGCCUCUUACAAACGAGACUUGGGCGAUGCUGAGAGAACAGCGUGUUGCAUGGCGUGUGCGUGUGUGCAUGCAGGCGCGGGGAGGCAUUUGAGGAUCAUUCAGCUCCAGAAGGUCUGUGUGAGGAAUGCUAUCUCUGCCGUGCUGAAAAUAGGAGGCGCCUACCCUUACCGGUCUUGA
rnacentral:lncRNA from 1 species